AGAACGAACGCUGGCGGCAGGCUUAACACAUGCAAGUCGAACGCUCCGCAAGGAGUGUGGCAGACGGGUGAGUAACGCGUGGGAACCUUCCUAUUGGUUUGGAAUAGCUCAGGGAAACUUGGGGUAAUACCGGAUAAGCCCUACGGGGGAAAGAUUUAUCGCCAAUAGAUGGGCCCGCGUCUGAUUAGCUAGUUGGUGAGGUAAUGGCUCACCAAGGCGACGAUCAGUAGCUGGUUUGAGAGAAUGACCAGCCACACUGGGACUGAGACACGGCCCAGACU
rnacentral:rRNA from 1 species